ensembl:lncRNA novel transcript
GUCCUCUUUCCCUGUCCCACACCUCCUUCCUCCUGCAUCAGGCCUGGGGAGGGGGGCGUGCCGAUGUCACCCCCAACCCCCAGGCCUAGAGUCCUGGACACAUGGACGCCCCUGCCAGAGCUCCCCUCCCCGCGCUUGGGGUUACUUUGAACCCCGCCUCCUACAAGAGGAUGGUCCAGCCUAUUGUCGGAACCUGCAGGAAUCCCAGGCUGCGACCCAAGAAUAUUAGCGGAGGCCCAGCCUGGCUGGGGCUCUGCAAGUCCGACCUGGGUGCCCCAGAGAGCUGCUCCGGGAAAGACGUUUACCUGCUGCCCAGAGCUGGGACUGCAGACCCUGAUUGGCGAGGGCUUGGAGAGUAGCUGAGAACCUUCCCUUCAGCUACUGAAGACCAGACAGGGCUUUCUGUAUCACGCUGCCUGACGAUGAUGAGGGUGCAGUGACUAAGAGUGCAGAUGAAAGGCCCAGCUCUCCAACCAGGUGGAUGGAUUUGCAAGGAGCUUCUAUCUGGGCGUGGUGGCUCAUGCCUGUAAUCCCAGCACUUUGGGAGGCUGAGGCGAGCGAACCACCUGAGGGUGGGAGUUCAAGACCAGCCUGACCAACAUGGAGAAACCCCAUCUCUACUAAAAAUACAAAAUUAGCCGGG